GAUGAACGCUGGCGGCGUGCCUAAUACAUGCAAGUCGAGCGAACAGACGAGGAGCUUACUCCUCUGACGUUAGCGGCGGACGGGUGAGUGACACGUGGAUAACCUACCUAUAAGACUGGGAUAACUUCGGGAAACCGGAGCUAAUACCGGAUAACAUGUUGAACCGCAUGGUUCAACAGUGAAAGACGGUCUUGCUGUCACUUAUAGAUGGAUCCGCGUCGCAUUAGCUAGUUGGUAAGGUAACGGCUUACCAAGGCAACGAUGCGUAGCCGACCUGAGAGGGUGAUCGGCCACACUGGAACUGAGACACGGUCCAGACUCCUACGGGAGGCAGCAGUAGGGAAUCUUCCGCAAUGGGCGAAAGCCUGACGGAGCAACGCCGCGUGAGUGAAGAAGGUCUUCGGAUCGUAAAACUCUGUUAUUAGGGAAGAACAAAUGUGUAAGUAACUAUGCACGUCUUGACGGUACCUAAUCAGAAAGCCACGGCUAACUACGUG
rnacentral:rRNA from 1 species